rnacentral:rRNA from 1 species
GGGUUGUGAGGUUAAGCGACUAAGCGUACACGGUGGAUGCCCUGGCAGUCAGAGGCGAUGAAGGACGUGCUAAUCUGCGAAAAGCGUCGGUAAGGUGAUAUGAACCGUUAUAACCGGCGAUGUCCGAAUGGGGAAACCCAGUGCAAUUCGUUGCACUAUCGUUAACUGAAUACAUAGGUUAACGAGGCGAACCGGGGGAACUGAAACAUCUAAGUACCCCGAGGAAAAGAAAUCAACCGAGAUUCCCCCAGUAGCGGCGAGCGAACGGGGAGCAGCCCAGAGUCUGAAUCAGCUUGUGUGUUAGUGGAACGGUCUGGAAAGUCCGACGGUACAGGGUGAUAGUCCCGUACACCAAAAUGCACAGGCUGUGAACUCGAAGAGUAGGGCGGGACACGUGGUAUCCUGUCUGAAUAUGGGGGGACCAUCCUCCAAGGCUAAAUACUCCUGACUGACCGAUAGUGAACCAGUACCGUGAGGGAAAGGCGAAAAGAACCCCGGCGAGGGGAGUGAAAAAGAACCUGAAACCGUGUACGUACAAGCAGUGGGAGCACCUUCGGGUGUGACUGCGUACCUUUUGUAUAAUGGGUCAGCGACUUAUAUUCUGUAGCAAGGUUAACCGUAUAGGGGAGCCGCAGGGAAACCGAGUCUUAACUGGGCGUUAAGUUGCAGGGUAUAGACCCGAAACCCGGUGAUCUAGCCAUGGGCAGGUUGAAGGUUGGGUAACACUAACUGGAGGACCGAACCGACUAAUGUUGAAAAAUUAGCGGAUGACUUGUGGCUGGGGGUGAAAGGCCAAUCAAACCGGGAGAUAGCUGGUUCUCCCCGAAAGCUAUUUAGGUAGCGCCUCGUGAACUCAUCUUCGGGGGUAGAGCACUGUUUCGGCUAGGGGGUCAUCCCGACUUACCAACCCGAUGCAAACUACGAAUACCGAAGAAUGUUAUCACGGGAGACACACGGCGGGUGCUAACGUCCGUCGUGAAGAGGGAAACAACCCAGACCGCCAGCUAAGGUCCCAAAGUCAUGGUUAAGUGGGAAACGAUGUGGGAAGGCACAGACAGCCAGGAUGUUGGCUUAGAAGCAGCCAUCAUUUAAAGAAAGCGUAAUAGCUCACUGGUCGAGUCGGCCUGCGCGGAAGAUGUAACGGGGCUAAACCAUGCACCGAAGCUGCGGCAGCGACACUAUGUGUUGUUGGGUAGGGGAGCGUUCUGUAAGCCUGCGAAGGUGUGCUGUGAGGCAUGCUGGAGGUAUCAGAAGUGCGAAUGCUGACAUAAGUAACGAUAAAGCGGGUGAAAAGCCCGCUCGCCGGAAGACCAAGGGUUCCUGUCCAACGUUAAUCGGGGCAGGGUGAGUCGACCCCUAAGGCGAGGCCGAAAGGCGUAGUCGAUGGGAAACAGGUUAAUAUUCCUGUACUUGGUGUUACUGCGAAGGGGGGACGGAGAAGGCUAUGUUAGCCGGGCGACGGUUGUCCCGGUUUAAGCAUGUAGGCUGGUUGUCCAGGCAAAUCCGGAUAAUCAAGGCUGAGGUGUGAUGACGAGGCACUACGGUGCUGAAGUAACAAAUGCCCUGCUUCCAGGAAAAGCCUCUAAGCAUCAGGUAACAUCAAAUCGUACCCCAAACCGACACAGGUGGUCAGGUAGAGAAUACCAAGGCGCUUGAGAGAACUCGGGUGAAGGAACUAGGCAAAAUGGUGCCGUAACUUCGGGAGAAGGCACGCUGGUGUGUAGGUGAAGUCCCUGCGGAUGGAGCUGAGACCAGUCGAAGAUACCAGCUGGCUGCAACUGUUUAUUAAAAACACAGCACUGUGCAAACACGAAAGUGGACGUAUACGGUGUGACGCCUGCCCGGUGCCGGAAGGUUAAUUGAUGGGGUUAUCCGUAAGGAGAAGCUCUUGAUCGAAGCCCCGGUAAACGGCGGCCGUAACUAUAACGGUCCUAAGGUAGCGAAAUUCCUUGUCGGGUAAGUUCCGACCUGCACGAAUGGCGUAAUGAUGGCCAGGCUGUCUCCACCCGAGACUCAGUGAAAUUGAACUCGCUGUGAAGAUGCAGUGUACCCGCGGCAAGACGGAAAGACCCCGUGAACCUUUACUAUAGCUUGACACUGAACAUUGAGCCUUGAUGUGUAGGAUAGGUGGGAGGCUUUGAAGCGUGGACGCCAGUCUGCGUGGAGCCAACCUUGAAAUACCACCCUUUAAUGUUUGAUGUUCUAACGUUGGCCCCUGACCGGGGUUGCGGACAGUGUCUGGUGGGUAGUUUGACUGGGGCGGUCUCCUCCCAAAGCGUAACGGAGGAGCACGAAGGUUAGCUAAUCCUGGUCGGACAUCAGGAGGUUAGUGCAAUGGCAUAAGCUAGCUUGACUGCGAGCGUGACGGCGCGAGCAGGUGCGAAAGCAGGUCAUAGUGAUCCGGUGGUUCUGAAUGGAAGGGCCAUCGCUCAACGGAUAAAAGGUACUCCGGGGAUAACAGGCUGAUACCGCCCAAGAGUUCAUAUCGACGGCGGUGUUUGGCACCUCGAUGUCGGCUCAUCACAUCCUGGGGCUGAAGUAGGUCCCAAGGGUAUGGCUGUUCGCCAUUUAAAGUGGUACGCGAGCUGGGUUUAGAACGUCGUGAGACAGUUCGGUCCCUAUCUGCCGUGGGCGCUGGAGAAUUGAGGGGGGCUGCUCCUAGUACGAGAGGACCGGAGUGGACGCAUCACUGGUGUUCGGGUUGUCAUGCCAAUGGCACUGCCCGGUAGCUAAAUGCGGAAGAGAUAAGUGCUGAAAGCAUCUAAGCACGAAACUUGCCCCGAGAUGAGUUCUCCCUGAGACU